rnacentral:rRNA from 1 species
GAUGAACGCUAGCUACAGGCUUAACACAUGCAAGUCGCGGGGCAGCAGGGGGGUGGCUUGCACUUUCCGAAGGCGACCGGCGCACGGGUGAGUAACGCGUAUCCAACCUGCACUUCACCACGGGAUAACCCGGCGAAAUUCGGACUAAUACCGAACGUUGUCCAUUGACGGCAUCCGAUUUGGACGAAAGGUUUGGCGGUGAAGGCUCGGGAUGCGUUCGAUUAGCUGGACGGCGGGGUGCCGGCCCACCGUGGCGACGAUCGGUAGGCGUUCGGAGAGAAAGGCCACCCACGAAGGAACUGAGGCACCAGCCAGACACCUACGGGAGGAAGGAGUGAGGAAUAUCGGUCGAUGGGCGUAAGCCUGAACCAGGCAAGUAGCGUGCAGGAUGACGCCCCUAUGGGUUGUAAACUGCUUUUAUGCGGGGAUAAAGUGGCCCACGUGUGGGUUUUUGCAGGUACCGCAUAAAUAAGGACCGGCUAAUUCCGUG